CUGAACUGAAGCCUCCUCACUCUUCUCUACAUCUCCGAUUCAAGAGGUGCCGAAGAGCCUGCUGAGUUUGUCUGAGAUUCUGAAAAGUACAAAGCAUUGGGGAGCAGAAGAUGAUUCGCGAAGCCAAUGGCGACCCCAACAAGGCUAACAAGCCGUUCAUGCGCUCCUCAUCGAGCAACCCCAAUAAAUAUUGAUUUCUUCACAUAAUAAACACCCAAUGGAAACCAAGGCCACCCAGAGUUCAUCAGUUGCUUCUUCUACGACGUCGUUUGGGAGCUCGAAGAAGACGGUGUGGGUUUGGACGGAGAGCAAGCAGGUCAUGACGGCCGCCGUGAAGAGAGGCUGGAACACCUUCCUGUUUCAGAGUCAGAAACUCGCCAAUGACUGGUCUUGUAAGUUGAUUUAAACUUUCAGAGUCUAUUUUGAUCUGGGUUUUUGCUGUAAGCGUGAGAUUUUGAUAAAGGUGGAAGCUUUAGGUGGAAUUGCAUUUGGGUUUUGUUGGGUUUUUGCUGUAACAUUGAGAUUUUGAUAAAGGCGUAAGCUUUC